UAUGAAUAAUAAUAGUAAUGGUAAUAGUAAUACUAAUACUAAUGACAAUAAAACUAAUAAAACGAAUGAUAAUAAAAACUUUAGCACCAGUAGUACCUUUCCUGCUCAUGCCCUUUCGUCUUCCAGCCAUUCAAACGCGACCAGAGGAGUUGGAAAUGGAAUCGUCAGAAGCAAAGGCAAGUUUGGAAGUGGAUCUGGAUUACGAUUUGGUAAUGAAAUGGCUU
rnacentral:ribozyme from 1 species